GAGGUGGGAGAGCCAUCACUGGAGAGGUGGCAUUGGCGCCAGUACUCAGGCCAGAAGCCCCUUGUGCCCUGCUCUCAGAACACAGGCCCCAGACCAGGAAGGCAUUCUGCUAAAGAAGGGGACCCGAAACCUCAGCUACCAGCGCCGAUGGUUCAUCCUCCGAGGAAACCUCCUCUUCUACCUAGAACACUAGACCGACCAUGCACCCCUGAGCCUCAUCCUGUUAGAGAACUGCCAGGUGGAACCACACCUUAAGGCUGCAGAACCCUAUGCCUUUACCAUCCUGACCCCUGGGGUGGAGGGCACAGGUGGGCGGGCCUACAAGCUGGCUGCAGAAACCCAGGAAGAGCUGGAGACUUGGCUGUGGG
rnacentral:lncRNA from 1 species